CAAAAGUUUAGUGACAAAAGAUCUUGGCCACAUCUCUUUUGUAUUAGGCAUUUCGAUACUUAGAAAUUAUUCUCAAUGUAUCAUUUGGGUAUAACAAAAGAGUCGUAUCAAUAAAGUUGAAAGUAAAUUCGACAUGAAAGUCAAUAAACUAAGGAAUUGUCUUAAUCAUAAAGGGAGACUGUCUAGUCUCAAUCAUUGUCCAAAAGAAAAUUUGGA
rnacentral:lncRNA from 1 species